rnacentral:rRNA from 1 species
GUGAGGAAUAUUGGUCAAUGGACGAGAGUCUGAACCAGCCAAGUCGCGUGAAGGAAGACGGUUCUAUGAAUUGUAAACUUCUUUUGUGCAGGAAUAAAGUGGGUUACGUGUAACCUUUUGUAUGUACUGUACGAAUAAGGAUCGGCUAACUCCGUGCCAGCAGCCGCGGUAAUACGGAGGAUCCGAGCGUUAUCCGGAUUUAUUGGGUUUAAAGGGUGCGUAGGUGGAUUGAUAAGUCAGCGGUGAAAGUUUGCAGCUUAACUGUAAAAUUGCCGUUGAAACUGUCGGUCUUGAGUGCAAAUGAGGUAGGCGGAAUGUGUUGUGUAGCGGUGAAAUGCUUAGAUAUAACACAGAACUCCGAUUGCGUAGGCAGCUUACUGGAGCGCAACUGACGCUGAGGCACGAAAGCGUGGGGAUCGAACAGGAUUAGAAACCCGUGUAGUCC